GUCGGUAAAACUCGUGCCAGCCACCGCGGUUAUACGAGAGGCCCAAGCUGAUAGCCACCGGCGUAAAGCGUGGUUUAAGUAAGACAGUCUAAUAAAGCCGAAGACCCUCAGAGCAGUUAUACGCAUUAGAGAGGCAGGAAGCACAACAACGAAAGUGGCUUUAAACUUCUUGACCCCACGAGAGCUAUGGUACAAACUGGGAUUAGAUACCCCACUAUG
rnacentral:rRNA from 1 species